rnacentral:rRNA from 1 species
GACGAACGCUGGCGGCGUGCUUAACACAUGCAAGUCGAACGAAGAGCGAUGGAAGCUUGCUUCUAUCAAUCUUAGUGGCGAACGGGUGAGUAACGCGUAAUCAACCUGCCCUUCAGAGGGGGACAACAGUUGGAAACGACUGCUAAUACCGCAUACGAUCCAAUCUCGGCAUCGGGACUGGAUGAAAGGUGGCCUCUAUUUAUAAGCUAUCACUGAAGGAGGGGAUUGUGUCUGAUUAGCUAGUUGGAGGGGUAACGGCCCACCAAGGCGAUGAUCAGUAGCCGGUCUGAGAGGAUGAACGGCCACAUUGGGACUGAGACACGGCCCAGACUCCUACGGGAGGCAGCAGUGGGGAAUCUUCCGCAAUGGACGAAAGUCUGACGGAGCAACGCCGCGUGAGUGAUGACGGCCUUCGGGUUGUAAAGCUCUGUUAAUCGGGACGAAUGGUUCUUGUGCGAAUAGUGCGAGGAUUUGACGGUACCGGAAGAGAAAGCCACGGCUAACUACGUG